UCUACUUCUAUGAUGAAAGAAAAUUUCAACCUGAAUUUGGGAGUCCUGGAGGAGUUCAACAUCUUUUCUUACUUUCCAUGGAUUUGUUGGAGAGAAAGUGCUGUGGUACCUAAUUUCAGUAGAUUAUACAGACAAGAGGCAAGAAGUACAGCAGCCACGCUGAAUACAUAACCUUAUCUAUAUUCUUCUGAGGAAUCUGUCUGUCUUGAGUGGGGAGAGAUUAGAUUAUUCUGAAAGGAAUGGAAAUAGAAAGAAUUAAUAUUCAGCUCUGACAUCUAAAUUUGGAUUUUUGAUUACUUAACAAGAGAACUGGCUUAAAAGUGACACUCUACUGUCUCCCCUUAUCACCUAAAUUUCAUCAUGGAAAGAAAAGGGUAAGGUGGUGGAAUUCCAAACAUAUCACCUAAAGAGACCGAGUCAUCUAAGAGAGACUUUACAUCAGCCCUAACACGGAAUUGAACUUAAAUGGACUGAAUAUUUAAAGUGAAAGGAACUCUUUAAACCUGAAUAAAAUGAGACAUUAUUAAUUGCAAUUUAUAAAAUUUACGUUUCUUGACUAUUUGGUGGAUGGGAUCGUUCAUAAGGAGGAUUAGAUAUAUUAGAGAAAUUGUUUUCUUCGUGUGUCUUUUUAUAUGCAUCUACAUAUUAUGUAAGUUUGUUACCCCACCAUGUAAAUUUCCUUUCUGUCUGCCUCAUUCAUUUAUCUACCCCGCUGAAUUCACAAACUGCUUUAAUUAUCUUUGAAAAAAAGUAUAAGGCACAGAAAAAUCUACUAAAACAACAGCAAAGAAAUAUGAAAAUCAAGAAAAAAAUAAGGGCAGGAACAUAAACCUUGAAUUAGAUUUGGAAUCAAAAUAUAUGAAAUCAGCCUCUAUAGUUGGAGUUAAGCUAGUAUUGGCUCUGAACUUAUUCGCAGUCAGUGUAAAGAAAGAAAACAAUCAGUCCUUUGAUAAUUACCUCAUCCAUAUGAUAAAAACAAACUAAAAGUAUAGGUACAAAUUAUCCAUGUAGUAAAUCUUAAGAGAAAUUUUUCUUAUAGCGUCUCAUAGAAACAUGAGGUAAUAUGUAAACUGUGUCCCCAGUAAAGAAGCUAUAGUAUGCCCAAUGAUGAAUUCUGUAGGACUGUUGCUUAUGAUAUACUUAAUAGAAAACUUAUUGCAUCAUGACAAAGCACAGUUCCACGAAGGAAAGAAAAUGGUAAGGUAUUGGCUCAAUAGGAAUCCUGCAUUGAAAUUUGUAACAGCCAAGAUGAAGAUUACUUUAUAGCUACAGGCAUUUUUCUGGAAGAGAACCUCCUGGGAAAUCUAAGGCUAGAUCAAAUUGGAUAGUAGGCAAUGGGGAGUCAGGAAGUUGCCAUAAUAUGGCCUUUUUGAGAGGAAAUAAGGUAUACAGUACUCUCUCUCUCUCUUACUCUCACUCUCAUAGUCUAUAAGACUGUAAGAUAUCCAUAUAUAUAUAUUAGAGUUUGCUAUACAU